rnacentral:rRNA from 1 species
GUGCCAGCAGCCGCGGUAAUACGUAGGCAGCAAGCGUUGUUCGGAGUUACUGGGCGUAAAGGGUGUGUAGGCGGUUCUCUAAGUUUGGUGUGAAAUCUCCCGGCUUAACCGGGAGGGUGCGUUGAAAACUGGUGGGCUUGAGUAUGGGAGAGGUAAGCGGAAUUCCUGGUGUAGCGGUGAAAUGCGUAGAUAUCAGGAGGAACACCUGUGGUGUAGACAGCUUACUGGACCAUCACUGACGCUGAGACACGAAAGCGUGGGUAGCAAACAGGAUUAGAUACCCUGGUAGUCCACGCCCUAAACGAUGCAUACUUGGUGUGAGCGAUUCAUUUAGUUCGUGCCGGAGCUAACGCGUUAAGUAUGCCGCCUGGGGAGUACGGUCGCAAGGCUGAAACUUAAAGGAAUUGACGG